AUUCAGCUGACGAGUCCCGAAUAGGAUGAAAUACACGUCAUGGAU
rfam:Schistosoma margrebowiei strain Zambia genome assembly, scaffold: SMRZ_contig0000398